CGCACCGUCCACCCGUUCCUAUCAGUCAGUUCUCUAGGUCAUUUCUUCACAUUCGCGCGCGUUCACGACAUAACGAAAACAAAUCGAGAAGGCAAAGCCGGUCUCAAAAACGAAUUUUAAAUACAGUACAUUUUGUUUUUUAGUGAUUUUUCCGAAAUUCGAAAGUGACGUGUUUUUGAAUGUAUUUUUUAUUUUUAGUGAAAAGUGUAAAGGGUUACUGAAUUCUGUGCAGCAUUUAUCAUUUAAAAAAUUUGAAAACAUUUUAUCACGUCUGUAAAGGAAUGCUUGGUUGACAGUUUAAUUCAGCACACGUCCGUCCAUUACGAAGAGUAAAACAAGAAUGACCAACUGAUUCUAAAUUCAAAAUGGGGAGUGGGAUGAGCAGUGCUACCUCGCGGAAAUGGUCGGAGGGAGCGAAGAGGAAAAAUCCUCCUUCAGCUGAGUCUUCAAGAGUACUGUUCCUUUUGUACUUGAUACAUCGUACUUGGAACGUUGUUGUGGAACAUGUGGAUACGAAGAGUGCUAGAUGGCGCGGCUCUCACACAGUGCCAAGCUCAGGUGAACCAGGUCGUGCAUUCGACUCCGUGAGCCUGUGUGAGAGUAACGACGGAUCUUGCUACUCUGCUUGCAGCUGCAGCUACUGUCGACUACGGGAGUGUGCCCAUGACUG